UAUCACAUAACCCUCAGUCCAAUCAGUCUCAAAAUGCCAUGGGGAGGCCUUUGUUGCCCAAUCAUACAGUGCCAUCACAACCAUUUGCACAAACUGCUAAUGUCUCCCUGGUUAGGCCGACGCAUGCUGGUGCUGGCCACUUGCAUGGAAAUCAGAAUAUGAUUGUUGGGCCCAAUAAUCAAGUACAGGCCUCUUCGGAUCUGCUGUCCAGAUCUUCAGAUCCAUAUGGCAAACAAGGUGCUCUCAAUGAGAAAAAAUCUGAUUCUGCUUCUGGAAUACCUGGUAAAAGCGUGAAGGAUGUGGAUAAAAUGCCUUUAUCAGAAUCAGAAGUAAAAAUUGGAAAAGAAAUUAAGCAAGAUGAAGUUGCGAAUGAGCAAAAUGGUGAAGGUGUGCAGCCUGGGCAGACAACAGGCAUGAAUGCCAGUGCACUAGGAAAUGCUAAUGUGUUGAACAAAAAUUCUGUGAAGGAAGAGGCUGCUGGAAGUAGUUGGCAGCCUUUAAAUGGAGAUAAAUCAGGUGAUGCGGUAUCUGGGGUUCAGAGCAAUACUGUCAAUGACCAUUCUGGUGUGAAAGACAAGGAGAUUCAAGAUGAUCAUCGGCUGAAUGAUUCACAACCUGGUAAGCAGCAGAAUGAUGAUAUGCCCACUUCAAAACCUCCUUUGGAUGCUGAUAAUGCUGCCUCAGCUGUCGCCCAAACCCCUGGUACUCCUCAAGGUCCUGGGGUUAAUGAACACAGAAAUAUAACUCCACUUGGUCAUGGGCAGUCUGGUGGAUGUCAGCUUUCUCGCCCAGAUCUCUUUGCUGAUCAGGGCAAGUAUCGUAGCCCUGCCGGCCAAAGUUUUCUGGCUCAUUCUAGUGGAAUUCCAAGUCGAUACAACCAAGGUCAAGCACCUUUUCAUCUUGGUGCAUCCAAUUUGCCAAGUGUUGAAUCCGGUGUAAGGCCACAGUUUGGUACUGGAGAUGUGCGUGGUGGAACAACAAUUUUACCACCACAUGCUUCUGAAUCCUACCCGCAUCCAAGGCCUGGUUACUUUAAUGGUCCCCAUGGUGUUGGAUCAGAUGAAGAAAGGUUCAAGCCUUUCCCCAUUCCUGGCCAACACAAUAUUGAACGAAGAGAGUUUGAAGGUGAUCUCAAGAGGUUCCCUGCGCCUUAUGCAGAUGCUGAGCCCAUUUCAAAAUAUGGGGGCCAUUCUACAGGUCCACAUAAUAGAGGUUCCCAUGAGUUAAAUUAUAGCAGUGGGUCAAAGUUGAAUCCUGCAGAUGGUGUUACCUCAAGAUUGUUUCCUCCCCCUUUUUCUUUAAAUGAUGUUGGAGAUAGACCAAUUGCUUUCCAUGAUGAUGCCAUGGUGAAAUCUGAUACUCAUCGCAGUGAUUAUCUUGGAAUAGGUUCAAGACAUGGGAUGCAUCACAUGGAUGGUCCAACUUCGCGAAGUCCUAUUGGUGAACAUGCUGAAAUGUAUUUGGGGAGAGCUGGUGUCCAUUCUGUUGGUAUUGCUAGUAAGUCAAGCGUGUAUGACUUUGAUGGAAGAGAUCCACGUCAUUUUGGUGACUCAUUUGGCAGUGCAUUCCGUGAUAGUAGAUUUUCUAAUUUGCCGAGCCAUUUUCAUAGAGGUGAGUUUGAGGGUCCUGGUAGCAUGCGAGUUGGUGAACAUCCAAGGGGUGAAUUCAUUGGUCAAGAUGACUUUACUGGGCAUUUUCGGAGGGGUGAUCGUUUGGGUCCUCAUAACAUGCCAAGACAUUUGCCAUUUGGGGAGCCUCUUGGUUUUGGUGCCCCUGCUGGUCAUGUGCGAGCUGCUGAACUUGGUGGUCGUCACAGUUUUGAAUCUUUCAAUAGAGGUAACAGAUCGGGUCACCCGCGGCUUGGUGAGCCUGGGUUUAGGAGCAGCUUUUCCUUUCCAGGGUUUCCUAAUGAUGGUGGACUAAUAACGGGAGAUAUUGGAUCCUUUGAUAAUCCGAAGAGAAGGAAGGCAAGCAUGGGGUGGUGUCGGAUAUGUAAAGUUGACUGUGAAACUGUUGAAGGGUUGGACAUGCAUUCUCAAACAAUGGAGCACCAGAGGAUGGCCGUGGAUAUGGUUAAAAGCAUCAAACAGAAUGCUAAAAAACAAAAAUUAACACCUAGUGAACAAUCCUCAAUUGAAGAUGGGAGCAAGUCAAGAAAUGCUAGCUUUGAGGGCCGUGGAAAUAAGCACUGAGCUGUAGGGGUUUGCUGCAACUCUAGUCUUGUGUCUCACUUGUGCACUUCUCAUCAAAAGAUGUUCCUGUGGCAUUAUUGCAUUUAGCAAUACUCAUCUCUCUAUGCCAUUUUCUAGUUGAGGUGGUUUAUGUUACUUUUGUCAUUUCAGGUUGCUGCCAUGUUAAUGGGGAUGGUUUUUGGAUCUGGAGUACUGUGGCAACAACAAAAGGCUGAAACUUCAGUGGAACAAUUUACCUGGUCGUCUUUGUAUGUGCUGUGGAGCAUGUGAAUGAAGAAUCUUGCUUGUUUGGGCAUUCUGUGGUGUGUCGUAUCAUUUGUGAUGUGGCCGGUGCAAAUUUAUCAUUGUUUUAUUCUGCUACCGGAAUUGAUUCAUUAGCAUGCCGGUGGAUAAAGUUAAGCGAAGGGGUGUGAAGAGGAAACUACAUAGUACAUACGGAGUACUUUCGCUAUGUUUCGAGUAAUAAGAAGUUGAGGUGUUAAGCAACCUGCUGCCCAAGGAGUUGCCAUUCUCCAUCACCUGAACUUGCUACAGCCGUGUCUCCCACAAUUUUCUCUUUUGCUAUCAAAAAUAAUAGUCAGUAGUCACUUAAUGCAGAUUUGAAUCUCCUCGAGGGACACUCAGAUCAAAAAAAUAAAAUAAAGAAAAAAUAGCGAUAUUUACCCUAAAGGGCCCCCUUUUUCUGUUGUAAUUGUAUUUUCAGUGACAAAAAACAAUGGCAGUGUAAUUUUCUGGCCUUGUUUAAUGUUACAUUACUCCAUUCAUGUUUUCCACCUCCA